UACAGAGGUCCCAAGCGUUGUUCGGAUUCACUGGGCGUAAAGGGUGCGUAGGCGGUCGGGUAAGUCUGAUGUGAAAUCUUCAAGCUCAACUUGGAAACUGCAUCGGAUACUAUUCGGCUAGAGGAAUGGAGGGGAGACUGGAAUACUUGGUGUAGCAGUGAAAUGCGUAGAUAUCAAGUGGAACACCAGUGGCGAAGGCGAGUCUCUGGACAUUUCCUGACGCUGAGGCACGAAAGCCAGGGGAGCAAACAGG
rnacentral:rRNA from 1 species